GGCGAGCUGCGCGGGUCGGCAGGGCGUCGGGGGAAGUGAGCAGCGCGGGUCUGCCUGGCUUCGGGGCGGCGAGCGACGUAGCAGAGACAACAGAACAGGGGAGUUGCUUGGGAGGAACUCAGAUCAGCACAGGAGCAGCUUCGUCGGGCGAAGUAAGGGUGUGGUGCGCGUCGGCGGACGGCGGCACAGCAAGGCGGCAGCGAGCAACGGGGGGGUGAGGCGUCACGGGCUUCGGCUGCAGGCGGUGUCGGCGCGAUGAGCAGGUACGGCGUCGACGUUCGUGGGUCAGGCGGAAAUGAAGCUGAGGCGUUGCUGGUGCUUGGGCGCAAGGCUGGCAGAGCGCGGCGAGGACAGGGGAGCGCGAACGGAUGUCGGCGGGACUGCGAGCGAGGCAGACGGCGGGCGCGGCGCUGGCUGGGGAGCGGUGGUGCAAUCGUGGCAGCGCAGGUGGUGCAGGCGCAGUGGGCAACAGCGGGCACCGGCGGCUUCGGAGAAGACGGACUGUAGCCCCUUUUUCUUUUCUUUUUUUUGUUUUUCUCCCUGCUCUCACGUCUCUCUCUCUCACAUCACUUCUCUCUACUCUCACCUGUCCCUGUCUCUUUCUGCAGAAGCAAAAAGCUUCCGCUGACUUUUUCCUUUUUUCCUUCAAGAACCGAGCCCCUUUCUCUCUUUCUUCCACUCUUCUUUUCCUCUCUUUUCCCUGCUCACGUCGACUUCUUCUCUUUUUCUCUUUGCUAUUUUUUUUGGACGAACAAUGAAGAGAAGCCCCCCUCCGCUCGGUUCUGAAGCCUCGCAUUUUAUAGGGAAAGUGCUCAAAGUUGUUGAAGAUUUGCAAAUAUUUGCUCAACCAUCCAACAGUAAAAAGGCUCCAAAAUCACACAAUCGAAAUUUUUUUAAAAUUUUGAAAUGAAGAUAUGUGUUCAACAAGAAAAACACUUCAUUGUUUCUUUUGAAAUCUCCCUCCACAAACCCAAAUGUUUUAUUUUAUUUAUUAUCCUUCAUUUUAUUAUAUAAAAAAUAAAAUAAUAAAAAUCCUAAAUUAGGUGUCAACACAUAUGUUGCCUUUUUUUUUUUUUUGUGACUAAUUGUCAUUUAAGUAGCACUAAUACCAACACAUGACACGCAAGAGGACAUUGUAUUACAUGCCCAUAAGUCGUUUUUUAAAAAAUAGAGAAUUUUGACAUAUUGGGACAUGUAUAUAUGCAUGAUAAAUUAUCAUUUUAAUGAUUAUUUAAUCAAAUUAAUUUGAUUCAAAUUCACAAAUGAAUAAAUAAAUAAGUAAGAGUUUAGAAUGAAUUUACACUAAAAAAUUAAUCCACCAUUUGUUAAUAUCAUUCAUUGUUUCAAUUUGAUAAAUUCAAUUACAAGUCAAUAAUCCAUAAAAUUUGGAGGACAAAAAAUCAAGCAAUCCACAUUUUGAACUCGCAUGUUAGAGUAUAUCGGAAAACAAGAGUAAAAAAAAACUUGGGGAAUGAAUUGUAUAUUACAGGAAGUGAGAAUCGAAAUAGAAUAGAAGACUAUAUUUUUCUACUUUCACCCUUUAUUAUUUAAUUAUUUUUAUUUAUGUAAAUAUUUACAUUUUCACUCCUUAUUUAUUCAAAAUUUUUAAAAUUGACAUCUUGCAUGUUAGAAUUACGUGUUGGAAUUUUGAACUCGCAUAUUAGAAUUCCGGACUCGAGUGUUGAAAAGUGUUGGGAGAGUUGAUCAUACAUCAAAUUUUUCGGCAUAUGUUGAUCGAGUAUCAGAGAGUACCAGACAUUUCAACACAACACGAAGGCUUCCGAAGAGUGUCGAUGCUUCAUAGGUUGUUGCUUUUGUGCAUAUAUUAGUGUCAUUCUCAUGGAAAAUCAAGAUUUCCCUUCAUUUUAAUAAGUUCACUAGUGUUAUUAUUUGUUAUGAUAUUUUUAUCAUCCUGUAAAAAGAGUUCGAUCAAUUGAGUACAGGUUAGUUUAUCAUGUGAUAUGGCAAUCACUCUAAAGUACUUUAAAUCUUUUUCUCGUAGCAAAAUUGCUAGAAGUUAGUUAGAUUCUCGAAAUACAAGCAUCAAAUAACUCCAGCAUUGUAUUUCCCUUGGUAAUUCAAGCUCUCUGGAGCUAUAACAAAUCAAACAUGCAUGCAAGCAGCAGCAGUAGAGAACACGUUCAUAUUCUUGAAGGUACACAAGCUUGCGAAUACGUUAUUGUUAGAAAAUCCAACUAAAAAGCUUAAGAUAGGAGGUGCAGGGACACUACAAGCAUAUAGCUAGUAUAUAAACCAUAUAGUCAGAUGUGUGAAAUAUUUCAACAUAUAUCCUCUUUUAUUGUUCAAAAUCAAGAAUCUGCCUACCCGAAAAUUUAACAAAACCAAAUGAAUAAAUAGUUGCCGCGUGGAAACAAUGAGAGGAACCUAACGUAGAACGUGCAACAAACAGAUAAUACAAAAAGAACAAAUGAUAGACCGACAAACAGAGUUAACACCAAUAAUGGACUACUUCCAAUUAUUCCAUGCUUCAUCAUGCAUCCUCCUCGUAGACUUUCAAUUAACCUUUGCACACACUUUCCUGACUUCACCAGCCGUUCCGGUGAGCACGCCGAUCCGACCCAUGUUCACCAUUGACACUCCAAAGUCCUUGAAGAAGGUGGAUCCACCGGUCUUGAUCUGGAGGUCAAUGUACGCCUUGGUUUCGCUAUCAUCAAGAAGUGCGGCGUCCGAAGUGAAGAGUCCUCUUCUCUUCGGGAUCAGAUCGAAGUAUUUGAUGUCGAACGUCCUCACGCUUCCUGGGUCCAUCUCAACGAGGGUGGUUUGGUCAUUCGGCUUGCACUUGAGCUUCAGUCUUGCUAUGUAGUUAGAGUCGAGCUUGGGGUCGGUGUCGCCCUUUCCGGUGAAGUUGUAUAGGCGGUCGGAGAAGGAAGAGCAGUGUGAAGUUCCAAGGGUGUGGCCACCUAGUCAACAGAAAUCAGAAUUAGCAUGAUCUGACUUUACAAAUUACGUUUUCUCCUUGCAGUGCAGACUGUUUAUGAAUCUCGUGCUCAAAUUAUAGUUUCUUCCUAUUAAUCUAUGUCAAUUUCCACAAAAUAAUCGAUAAAGCAUAUGAAGCAAUUGAAGAUUAAGUGUUACCUGAUAGGACGACAAGGUCCUUCACACUGAGGCCCUUCAUUGCAAAAUCUGCUUUCAGAGUUGUAAUGUUGGCAUUAGGUGGUACUAAGUUGUUAAGCGCCUCGUUUAAACUAGAGACGUUCCCAUCUCUUCGUCCAGUUUCCACAUCAUAGGAAAGUGCUCCGGUCUAAAGUGACAACAAAAAGAAACCCAAUUCCUAUAUAAAUAUGUUUUUCUCUGAUGGAAAAAUCAUUGAGUUUCAUGAUGCACGAUGCAAAAAUAAUCUCGGUUUUGACAAGCAGUAAUUAGAUCCGAAGAUACGUAUGGGCGGAAUUUUUUUUCCAAUGAGAGGGGAUGGAUUGUUUGUGAAAAUCGAGAUUUCUACUGAUGUCAUAUGUAAAUGAGGAACAUUAAAAUUAGAAUGAAUAAAUAAUGCAAGUGACAUAUGCAUAUGCGCACCGCGACGACGACAUCUCUUGCGACGAUGGCCAAGACGUCAGCACACGAAACGGUGCCGGGACAUGCCUUCUCCAACGCCGUUUUGACUCUAUCGAUCACCUGGUAACCGCGAAGGCUGAAAUUCGGUGGCGCGUCCUUCUCGGCUUGAUUGGUCGAAGAGUUCAAGAGUAUUGAACCUUCGCAACCCUGUGGAAAAACCCAGAAAGAAACACUAUUCGACUGUGAGUUCAUGCAGAAAACAGUUCGUAUCCACGGACGAAUCUAGGAAAGUAUGUUGAGGGGCUAAACACCAUUCGUUAGAUUAUAACCUGUUCUAAUUGAUGUUUAGCAGAUGGUUCGACGAAAGUAAAAACCAUUCUCUUCAGUCAUUAUACAGGUGCUCAUAAGAUAGUACUCUUCCCAAGCACAAGUAGGAAGAGAAGUACGUGCACUCAUUCAUUCACUUACCCUAACGAAACAGUCGUGAAAAUGCAUCCUCAAGAGAGGGCCAGAGAGACUCGGGGCGACGGACAUGACUUGAUCCAUGACCUUCUUCACGAUGGCCUCUGCAUUUGGGCAUGUCUUCUGGUAAAACCCUACUUUGAGACCCUGACCAUGAGCGACCUCAGGGACAAGGAACAAGAACAUCAACUGAAGCAACAAACAAGACAAGAAGAGCUUCGGACAAGCCAUUGCUUCGUGCCAAGAAGAACGAUGACUACUUUCGCUUGAUCUUAGUGUUUUGGUGGGGAUGUUUCCAUCAACAAACCGCUUUGGCCUUUUAUAUACUUCGCACCAGCUUCUUAAGCUAUGAUUUAUGGGCUGUCAUUCGCACGACAGUUCAGCAUGCUUUUGUUAUAUGCGAUUUGCAUCUUCGCAUGAGCCAACUUGGGAGCUAACUCCUCCAUAUUUUGUACGGAUCCACUCUCUUAAUUAGAACAUGGCAUUGAGACUUUGACUUUGGUUUAAUUUAAGGGCUUGCUGGAUUUACUCCACCGAAUCGAUAUCGAAGAAACAUGAUCAUGAUCUACACAUGGGAAGAUGAAAAUUUCAUUAUAUCUUUGCCAACUUACAAUGAAGUGUGAGACAAAAAAUUUUAUCAUGACAGUGGACAAACGAUAAGCUCCUUACGCAACCACGAUGAGUUCAUUAAUGCCUGAUGACCGUCACAAUUCGAGAUAGUGCCUUCCAAGUUCUUCCAACCAGGCAAAGAAUCCGAGGAUUUCUCAUCUAGAGAACCUACAAAAUUGUUAAGAUAGAAAAAUUGCCGUGGGAGUUCCUUUGGGAUAAUUAUCAAAAGAGUCCUAAAUUAAUUGUAAUUGUGCCAAUUUGGUCAUAAUUUUUUUUUAUCAAUUGAGCAUAAAUGUUUUGCAUUUAUGCCAAUUUAAUCUAUUCAACCAAUUUUGAGAGGAAUUCGCUAACAUGGAUAUUAGCUAUUCUACGUGGCGCAAAUAGUGCCAGCAUGGACAAGUUUUUCAAUUUUUAUCUAUUUUUUUGAAUUUUUUUGAAUUUUUCAUAUUUUUUUCUUCCUUCUUUUGUUUACCAUUGUGGCCAACAAGAGUCACUGGAGCUUGCUAGGUAGUAGGCGAGGCCAUAGCGGUCGCAGGCAAGUUUGCCUUGGCACCUUUUCCUAGAUGUAGCCAGUGAGGCCAUGGCAAAGUUGCCUUUGCCCAAAUUUGAGCAAGGCAAAUUUGGGCGAGGUGAACUCGCUUAUGGCUUCUACGGCCUCACCUAGAUCCAGGCUAGGUCGGGCAAGGGCCACUACCCUCGCCGCUAGCUGGAAAGGGCUUUGUGGCCCUCGCUCAAUGGCUGGCAAGCUCUAGUGAUCUUUAUCGUCCCCAACGAGAAACAAGAGAAGGAGGAAAAAAAGAAAGAAAUUAAUUAAUAAAUAAAUAAUUUUAAAAUAUAUUAUGAAAUUGUCCACGUCAGUGCCAGAUGCACCACGUAGGAUAGGUGAUGCUCAUGUCAGCGAUUUCCAAUCAAUGUUGGUUGGAUAGACUGAAUUAGUACAAAUGUUAAAGGUUUAUGACUUAAUUAACAAUAAAUAAAAAAUAUAAAAGAAGAAGAAGAAGAAGAAUAUUUAGGACUAAAUUUGUACAUAGGUCUAAGACUUUUUUGAUAAUUUUCCCAAAUUAUUUCAAAAGGGCUAAAGCUUUGAGGUGUUCUUCCUCGAGAGUGUCAAAUUUUAAACAUUUCUAUGCAUUUGUCAUGCCUUUUUACUACUUGCCAUUCAUCCCCCGAAACUUGUCCAGAUAUAAUCCGAUGACACCUCAACAGUAACAUAUAAAUAGCCUCAAUAAUUGCCCACUCCACGUGAAACCUCAAUAAUUGAACAAUAAGCUGUGAUAGCAGCUAAUCGGUUGUUUGAACCAUUUAUUAAUAAGCGCCGAAUACACCCAUUGUGUAAUAUAGAUUUGUUUGAAGAAUAUAUUAUGACGUUCUAGAAAUGUGAACAGAAACAUCAAGGAAGUGCUAGUUAGUUUAAUAUUGUUAAGCAUGUCUUGAGUUUUGGCGAACGUCUCGAGCGAGAAUUGAAACUUAGAGGCCGACGACUGAAGGACGCGAGAAGGCAGCCUGCCUAGCAUGUGUUUUAGACCCUACUUUAGCGAGUAUUUCAUGAGAGAAAAGUUUACUACACAUCAUAACCUCUUGAGAGUAUUUCUAGGGUUUUUCUUUGAGAGUUUUGUGAGGAAAGCACUCGAGAGAUUCAGUUAACACCAGGUGAGGAUUGAUUGGGAAUGAUUUGGGGCUUGGGUGUGAGAGAGCUUUUGUUCUAAGCUCGUUUAUCCAUCGUUCAUGGUGGAUUUAUUGCCGCUAUUCUCCUCGUUGAGUUGGUUUCAAAUCUCAGAUAGAAUCACAUAGAUAGUGGUUCGUGUUUUCCUCUAUUUCUUGCUUAUUCCUCCGUUUAUCUCGCUAGUGUGAUCGAUUGUACCGUCCAACUUCCGCAACACAUAUUUAUUGACUUUUUGGAACAUGCCUUCUGUCCUACAAAACCCUUAAUGUACAUCAUAAAUGCCUCAUUAGCGUGUUGGGUCGAUUGUAUCGUCCACCUUCCGCAACACAUAUUUAUUGACUUUUUGGAACAUGCCAUCUGUCCUACAAAACCCUUAAUAUACAUCCUAAAUGCCUCAUUAGCGUGUUGGGAGCAGAAGUAGAUAUCUAAUACCUUUAUUUGAGAAGAUUGACUCCAAAUUCGAGUCCAUCAAUGCAUCUAUUGAAUUCAUCUUCACUCAAAAAUUUAAAUCAAUAAGUUAUGAACAAAUUACUAUAUAUUAACUAUUUCACUCAACACCAAUUCUCCGUAUGAGACUUUUCUAACACGAUUUACAUGUGCAUCUCAACCAUAACCCCAUCACGUGUGAGCACAAUGUUAGAUAUGCUCCAUCUUGAUUCAGGUAUCAUUAUACAUCUACAUGUCUCAACUUAAAUCUACACAAUGCCCACUUUCACCCCAGGUGUCUUUUGCCUUACCAAAUCAUGAAUACUAUCAGAAACCGUGUUGGUCACAAAAUUACUUACUUAAGAUAUUCCCUAGACACUGUGUCUAAUAGACGUGGGAGGGGGUGCUCGAAAACUGCAUUGGUCACAAGAUUCCUUCCUUGUUAUAUUCAUCAAACACUAAUGCACAUGAGGAGUAGACUACCAAUCAACAUUGGCUUUGAUACCAUUUUUUAAAAACACGCAAUGGAAAUUUGAUAGCUUCAUUUGGAGAUAUCGCCAAGAGAGAUUCUAAGUUUGAACUCGUCAACAUAUUUAGUUCAAUUCACAUUUUUCUCAAAAAACUUAAAUUAAUGAGUUAUUGAUCAAUUAUGAUAUAUUCACUACUCCACAUUUAUCAAUUCUCCAAUGUAAAGCUAUUUUAAUGUAACUGACAUGUGCAUCUCAAUACAUGAAACUCGUUUGGACAUAAUUUUUUUUAAUGAGACAUGUGCUGCGGUGAUUCACUAUGCAAUGAGACAUUACAAUUCUUAGGCCCUUUCACUUGACUGUCGACUAGCUAGAACAGUCAAGCGCAUUAGGUGGCCAUUCCCAACGAAAUUACAACUAGGCAAUUUUGAAAAUGAAAAUGGAAAUCAACUAACGAUAAAACGAAUUAGAAUUCAAUAGAAAAGCAAAGAAGUUCGGUGCCAUGACGGGAAGAACAUGGGACAUUGCCAGUACAUAUUGCACGUGGUCGGAAUUAUAAAAUCGGUGGACCAUCAAUCGGAGACAACCAUUCCGAUUAGGAGCACUUCAUAUCAUCGUUAUUAUGGUAAUCAAACCUAAGCCACUCGCCUGGUUAAUCUUGUGUGCACUCAUGAACUACGCCAUCGAUCUUACUUUCUCCAAUAUCCAUAAGAAAAUACUAUACACAGUAUUCAUACCACGCAACAUGCUGAUGAUCAUUCAUCUAGCUCAAUAACAUCAAUAGACCUGUCAAAAUGAGUCAUAGGCCCAUUUAUUAACCCAUAUAUAACGGGAUGAGUCGUUGAAGUAGGUCAUAAAUAGAUUAACAAUUUACUUAGAUCCAACCUAUCUUUAUAAUUCUCUUCUUAUUUUCUCUCGCCCUCAUUCGAUAUUGCACUCAUUUACUCCACGUUCUCAUCUCAAUUUGGGUUUGAGUUUUUGUAAAUUAUAUUGAAUAUAUAAGUAUUUUAGCAAUAUGGGUUGGGUCGAAUAUGUGUUGAGCAUGGGUCGAGUUGGGUAUGAGUCAUUAGAUUUGCAUUGUAUAAAAAUAGGUUAAAUAAUCUAUUUGGCUCAAAUCACCUUUGAUUUGACCCAAACCCGACCCACUUGUUUAACAGGUUUAAUAGUCAUCUCUUAUUGCUUAUUUUUCUGGCAUAAGGAAUGAAGCAUUUGCAUACAUCUGACAUAGCUUAACGAAUUAGAUACCUUAAAAAUGAGUUAAAAAAGUUGAGUACCCAACAUAAGAAAUGUUUUAAAUCACUGAUUGACCAAUAACACAAGACCGAGAUCUCAUCACAAUGAGGUGUCCGAUGUUCAAGAAGUUUAGAGCUCCCCGUAGUUAUCCAUAGCAUGUGGAAAUUCGACCUCGUCAUGUGCUUGAAUUACUUCAAACCUUAAAGUCAAAAGCGGUUCUUAUUCUUUGCUGGAUCUCACAACGUGUAGGAAUAACCCCUGGUGAUUCUUAUUCUUUGCUGGAUCUCACAACGUGUAGGAAUAACCCCUGGUGAUUCUUAUUCUUUGCUGGAUCUUACAACGUGUAGGAAUAACCCCUGGUGAUUAGUAUAUACUUAAAUUUCUCGCUCUCUCUCUAGGGAAGAAAACGAGAGAUGACGAUUCAUCCGAACGAUGGCACACUUGCCAUGGCCUACGGAGAUGAAAGCGGGAGCUUAAUUGCAGUACAAAUUCGAUUUGUCGUCGCUGAGUCUAGGAAAAAUCAAUUGUCGUACGAAAAUCCAUCUGCAAUUUCUCUGAAACACAAUGGCCUCAGGGCUUUCACGAAUGUUGCUCCAUUGACACGAUGGUGGUUUGUGCGUUUCUUGCCUGAAACUUUCAUGGUCAUAGUACCCAAAAAAAUGAGCCGAUCACAUGAAGUACCGAUGGAUAAUUGCGUGCCGAUUAUCUUAUUUCAUCAUGCAUGAAACAAAAGCACAUCGAGUCGUAUAUUAUAUAAUACUUGAAAUUAUAUCUUUCUUCUGGCCAUCCCAAGUUGACUUUUUCAUUACUGAGAAUUUAAAUUAUCAAAGUGUGUUGAAUCAGUUUAGUCAUGAGUCGGUUGCGUUUCAUUAACUUAACCUGACUUAGUUGACGUGUUAUGCUAAUGCAAGCGAAAAUAAGUUAACAAUAGUUUAGACUAAUUAGCCCAACUAGGUGAAAAAUCUAUGCUUUAUCUGUUAUAUAUACGUGGGGUCUUUGCCCUUAAUAGUGACCAUCAAGUGUAUUCACCACAGCUCUUUGUAAUUUUCUAAUUUUCCCCUUCUCAGUUGGUCUCUUCGGGUUAUACAAUUAUAAAUCCGAGAUUAUUUUUCUCGGGAAAUUCAUUCCUAAUGAAAGUCACGAUAUCGACUUCUCAUUUCUUUCUUGAUUAAGAAAAACGUUUCCUUUCUUACAAGCUUUAAAAAGAUGUGUUGCAGCUUUCUCGGAGGUGAACCACUAGAGGCAAGGCUAAUGGAUUACUAAACGGGAACAAAGAUUUCUCUCACAAAGUAAUUACUCAUGUUUAAUGCAGGCUCUCCCUAGUUCUACCAAUCAUAAUUUGGUACUCAAUCCGAUAUAUAAUUAAUCUUACCUUUUGUCACCACCCCAAACUGGUUAUGGGUCAAUUAGAUACCUUUGCAAGCUAGAGAUUCAAUGGAUUUAGGACUUGGUUACGAUAGAUUAAUUUAAUGCCAUAUUCAGUACAUUUUCUCUCUAUUUUGAAAAUGUUUUGCUUGCAGUUUUUAUAUCUUUUUAUCUUAUGUCACUAACAUGUAAGGAGUGAUCGUGCAGAUGUGUAUUUAAGAAAGUAACACUCAAUAAUUAAAGUGAUAAAUAAAUUGUAGAAACUUUGAAGAACCUGGACGCGCUAAGCAAAGCAUGUCACUAUCAAUCAUCAUGGAAAUUUUGCAAAGUGUUAAUUUGGAAAAAUACGUAGUAUGCUUAAAUGUUAUGCAUGAUUGUUGAUGAAAUGAUUCCUAAUCCUGCAUCUACAUUACUAGUGAAAAUGCAAUCUAAAUCCUAGUUUGAGAUGACAUAGUUUUAAUUCUACGAUAAUACAUGCAUGAUAUUUUAAGUUAAUUAACAUGCAUGAAUGACUUAAGUGAAACCAUGAAUUUAUUCUAUAACGCAAGCUAUAUAAUUUUAUUUUAUUUUAUAAAAAAUAGCAAGAUUAAAACCUUAGACUGUAAUGUGGCUUAGUGAACUAUCCACUAUUAUUAAACUAUAUUAUUAUUAAAACUCAGUGCUGAAUGACAUGCAUUGUAUGACAUUGGUCUAAUUUACCCUAGGUCUACAUGCAUUCUAAAUGAAAACUAAAUAACAUUUUCUAAUGAUUUUUUUAAAAAGAAAUCUACAGACUAACCUGAAUCUACGUGCAUUCUAAAACUAGCAUAUCUAAACUUAUAAGUAUUAUGAGAUUAAUCAUGCAUGGCUCUAACUAUGAAAACCAUAAAAUGUAAAUUAUGAAUGUACUCUAAACUCUACAUGUGCGUGAUACAACGACCUGCAAUGACGAUGUACGAAUUAUUCACAUCAUUGAUAACAAAUUCAACCAUAAUAAUCUACACAAUACAAUAUUGGGCUUCCAUCUUAGUGUCCAAAGGUUUGAAAGCCGAAUUUGUCUUUGUUGAUGCACGGAAACAAGUGAACUACGGUGACCUAAGAAUUUAUCAACCAAAAACAUGCGCUUAAAUCCCAUAUUGGGACCGUCCAUCAUUAACCCAAACAAAACUCAUCCUCACCUAGACUAGAAUUGGUCUAAGGCAGUGGGGACCGAGACGACACGAUGGGGUGUGGUCGAGCGGUGGCGAGAUGUGUCCGCAUUCUGCUGGCUCUGUGUUGCGAGGACGUUGGGAAUUGGUCUGGGGAGGCGGAGACUGACGCGACAAAAGCCACCGUGUAACUACGAGAUGGCUUAUGCUGAGUGUCGCGACCUCUUUGGAACCCUCCCGCGGCGUGCGCUAAGGUUGAUGGCUUACUAAGUCUAAGCUUAGUUUGAGCUCUCCCAAACUUAUCAAUUCCUGAUUUAUGAUUUGAAUUUUUAACUUGCAAAUUAUUUUUAAUUAAGAAUUGCCCCUAACCGAUUUAUGGUGGGUCGAAUAGAAGCCUAAGUAAAAUAUUUGGAGAAAUAUUUUACUCCUGCGUAAUCAGAGAAAUUAAGAUAGGAGACUUGAUUAUAUUUAUAUCAACUAACUUUUUGAUACUUAAUCUUAUUUCAACCUUGAGGUCUGAUUCUCAUUUUUUGAGAAAACUACUUGAAAACUAUUUUUCGCCAUUCCUAAUUUCAGAAAAAAUUUUGAAUUUUAUUUUAAAAUUAUUUUAAUAAUAAAACAAUAAUAUCUUAUAAAAUCGGGCGGACACGGGUCGGACCGACCGGGCCCGCCGGGCUGAGUCCUCGGCUGGACUGGGCCUCAUGUACGAAACCACUUCAGCUUGAAAUUGAGCCCCCAUCCGUGAAACAAAAACGGGCCUUCUGGGCCCAGCUCGGAUGUGGGACUGGACUCGCAAAAGGCUCGGGCCCGAUUCUACGGCCCACUCUUCCAAAAGCAACACCAAGCCCACCUUAGCCGAAACCCACGUCUUCUCCCUCGCGGCUUCACAGAAGCACACUCCCACGCCCGAACACACGCUGCGCUCUUCCCCAAGGACCAAGAAUAUUGGCUGAUGCGAACGACGAAAAGGACUCAAGUUCGAAUCAGAGUUGUUCAGGCGCGAUACAAGCGGCGGCCGGCCACCACACAGCUGUCAUGGGCGGCCACAACCGCCGCCGCCGCCCCUUGUCUUCCCCGACCGAGAACCGGUUGCCCGUGGGAACAUGAUGCACCCCGAAAGAAACCAUGACACUAGGGUAGCGGUGGAGGUCUCCUGGAACGCAUUUGACAAACCACGAACACAAAAAACGAACGGAGGACCAAGAAUAAACGCGCACACUUCGGUCAGACAUUUCUUCAAACACGCGGAGGGCGUUGGCUGAAAGGAAGCUUUGAGCUUGUCCAAGACACGAACUUAGACCAAAAUCAGCAAGCAAUGAACGAGCAAGGUUCAUCUUCGGCAAAGGGACAGCUCGAUAAUGGUUAGUAUGAACAAAAGGACAGCAAGUCUCGGGCACAAUGAAAACCGAGAACGGGCCUCUAGCUUAGGCAUUUUAUCGAUCACUUCAUAUGUGCAGACUGAGGGGUGAGAAAGGGGGACGACAAAGCCUGGACUCGAGCCGGGAUUCACAGCAAUCGACACCCAUGAUCCUGCGACUGAGUCAUGCACUCGAAUGAGACCGGAACUCGCUCUUACCAAACAAAACAACCCGGUCCGGCAAGCCCGAAACAGAGCACCAAAGGGAGCCGAAGAGGGGCGGUCAGCAAUGUUCCCUACCCGGCUUGGCGGCGUUGGACAGCGGACGAGCUCGAUGGACCGGGCUACGUCUGCUCGCCUGGCAGAUCCCCGAGCCAGGAUCCUUGGGAGACCAACCGCAAAUAAUUUUUAAAAAAAAAAGGAAAAAAGAAGAAGGAUAAACCAGGGACGAAAUCUACAAGCUCGUUGCUCUCUUCUCUCUCUCUCUCUCUCUCACGGCCCUUCUCUCCAUGCCAAAUUAAUCCUGAUUUUCUAUGCAAUUUAUCUCUAAAUAUUUAGCCAAAAUUAAGCUAUCACGGACGGCGCUGGAGAAAGUCGAACUGGGUAGCUUACUGGAAAGCCACCGAGAAGCUUGUUUGCAGGACCGAGACACUGCCGGUGCGCGAGUGCAGACUGAUGUCUGACCGCUUACUGGAAGGUUACCACAGCCACCGGGAAGAGUAUGUCGUGAACACAGAGACUUGCCGGUACGCCUGGAGAUGCUCCAAGCUGAACACCAAGGAUGUUGGUGCUCGUUGGAAGAACUUCGGGACACAGUGGCGGCACGAAGAGACGGCACUUGCCAGGCCCGCUAGAAGCUUCCUGAUCGAUGGCCGAAGGAUUAAGUCCACGGCAGCAAGAUCCUGGGAGGCGCGGAGGCAGUGAGAGGUGCUGAGGCAACGACAUGAGGAGAGCACUUCGUUCUCUUCGGUGUCUCAGUACGUAUGUUUCCAUCGUGAGUCGCUUCUACCACUUGACCACCGCUUGGCUUUUUCCCCAUUUUGCUCAAGAUGGCUUUUUCCUUUGAAGACUUCCACGCUCAUGCAGGAUUUUUCUUCCACUCGGCUCCAUGUUGCCUUCUGUUCGUGACAAUUUAAAGAGUAAUUGAGCUCUUGAUGAUGGGCAUUACAUGGAGAGUGGGUAAUGGUGAGAAAAUCGAGGAAAGUUACGGUGGAGACAAUGGGGAUGGCUGUGAGGGCUGCAAAGAGUUGCGCUCCCUCUCUCCCUCCUCAUAUUCUACGGAUUCUUGUCAUACAUGACAGUGACCAACUAAGAAGGCGUGGCAUGGAGACAAACUAUGGAUGAUGGAUGAAGUGGAAGAGGUGUCCUAGAGAAAUUAUGUGCUCGUGAUGAUAAUGAGAUUUUCGUGCAUGUUUGGGGAAAUCUCGUGAGUGUACCUUCCCCCAAAGCGUGCGUCCGUCUCCUUCCAUAGGGCCAAAAACAAAAACAAAAUUCUUAUGUAUCAUUGGAAAGUCUGGAUCCGGAGCCUAUUUAUGAUUCUUAGAGAAUUGCUGAAUUUUGGCCUUGAUUUGUCACCGAGCAUUGACUGUGUAUCUCUCUAAUUCACUUCCAAAUUAGCGAUCGCAAUCUUUUGGUUUCCUUUUAUGAUUCUACUCAUAUUGCCUUUGAUGUGUCCCAUUCACUCGCCAUCGGCCCACCCAUUCCAUCAACCUCUCCCCGAUGCCAUUUCUUUCCCAACUUCUUAUUCUUUCCUCUUCCAUCCUGAUGGGUGGCCCUUACCAAUCUCUACUAUCGUUUCCUUUUUAUGCUCAUCACCCUUAGUCGGCCUUCCUUAUUUUCUCUUCCAUUCUCACAGCCUGCCCUCCAUCUUUUCCAUAAUUAGAUUUAAUUUAUCUCGAGAACUCUUGCUUAGACGGGUAAGUUUGUUAUUUAAUUAUCCACCAAAUCUCUAGUCAACAUCAACUCAAUUCUGACCUUGUGGAUAGGUAAUCUGAUGAAUGAUCGUCCGUGGAGGGCUCAUACCAUAAGGAGUGAUCUUACAUGUGAUGACUUGAGUAAAAAUGCAAAUGCGAGUGAGUCGAAUUCUAUCCCUAAUUUUUCAUGUAGUAAAUGACUAGGUGGAAUAAUCAAAGUUUAAGUAUCAAUAGUUGUUCCUCCUUAAAGGGAAGCUCAUAGAGAUUUCCUUCAAAAAUAAAUGACACUUAAAUUUAAACCAUGCAAAUGCAAUGCAACAAUCUUUUCUUGUUGGGAAUGGACUUCAAAGAAUAUGAUCCCAUUAUCAAAAUGUAAUGAUGUGUAAUAAAGAAUGCGAUGUAAAUGCUAAUGAUUUAAACUAUGCAAUGCAAUGAUCUUUUUGUUAGGAAUGGACUUCAAGGAAUCCCAUUUUCAUAUGUCAUGUAAAUGUCAAUGCUAAUUAAGAUAGAUAGAAUACAUACCUGUCGCUUCUUAAUUGGGGAUCUGGGGGUAAGAAAUAAUUUUUGGGAGUCUUGACAAGUAUCUUGAAUUCUUUUCAGAUAUUGAAAAGUCUUUCAAAAUGUGAUGAGAAUGAUGUUAUUUCAGAGGUGGAAUAUGAACCUGUUGCCGCUAACCUGGAUGGUCCUCAGAAAUUUGAAAGGUUAUGGGAAAAGAGGUACUUGGAUAGUCUUCAAGGCUGCCGAUCCUUAAGAAACUUGANNNNNNNNNNNNNNNNNNNNNNNNNNNNNNNNNNNNNNNNNNNNNNNNNNNNNNNNNNNNNNNNNNNNNNNNNNNNNNNNNNNNNNNNNNNNNNNNNNNNCCAAAGAGGAAAGGCCCGCCUUUGGCAAGAGAGAGAGGUAAGAGAUAAACCAUUGACUCAAGUCAAAAGACCCAAGCCAAAGGGAAAAAGGGAGCCCCCGUGCAGGAACUGUCGUUUUGGGAGGGGAUGUCCGAGUGAGAGAGAGAGAGAAAAAAAGAAACCGUGUGAAGGGGGGGGGGGGGGUUCGUACGUGGAGGGUGUGGGUCCAAGGAAAAAGAGGAAAAUAACAUAAAACUAAAGUUAUAAUUUGUUCAACUUCAAAAUAACUUGUCAAUUGGUCAUCCCAAGGCGAAUUGUUUCACCAUCUUGCACAACUCAAAAUCCAAUUAAAGACCAAAACAAGAUGGUCUCUCCAACCUACAAAUUCCCCUCAAUUUUGAAUUAUAUUUCCUUUUUCUCGGAAUUCGAUUUUUGAACAAACUUCUCCAAUUGAGGUCCGAUUGAUGCGGAAAAAGUCCAUGAAAUUUUCUUUCACCUAUUUACUCACAUCAGAUGCCAAAAAUCCCUUUAAAUUGGUCAAUCUGAAUUUCUGUUCGUUUUUCGAGUUAUCUGUAUUGAUUUUUCGUAAAAAAUCUCGAACUUGUUGGAAAUUCCUAAAAAAGUGAGUCAACAUUCCUAAAAUGACUCAUGAUAUAACAUGACUUUCAAUUUCUGAAAUUGAAUUCAAGUUCGUGGUUAAUUUUAAUCAAACGCGGUUUUAGCUUGACCUAGUCUAUUAGGUAGCUUUUAUGAAUUUUUGUUACAAUUGACCCGUGGUCGAUUUUCUUCGAGCCACACAUAUCUCUUCGACACAUUGGCAACUCUCGGUGGUUGUGAAAAUCUUGAGAUUUCAAAUACAAACACAGAAUAUCCAAAACGAAAGAAAAUUGGUCUAGUGCCGAUCACGAGAAUUUUGCAAUUAGGUGGAAUCACUCACAAUUUGAUUACCAUCUCAAUCGAAUCGACCUAUCUCUGGUCUCCGAUCGAUUUUUAAUUGUGCCGUAAUGACCCUUGCAGACUAGCACGGUCAAGUAGUCGAUUCCUAGUCGAAUUCUCAAGUCUAUUGCAUUAAAAUCCCUUAAUGGCUUCACUUGAUAAGUCAGUUAUCUCAUAAGUGGCAAUCUCAGAGAAAAACACUAUAGUCGCAUUAAUGAAAGGCCCAUCUUAUUCAAUCAAAAUCAAAACCUGAAAAUUAGAAUGUCACACUGCCAGUCUGUAACAUUUGGACUUCAAUUUGGCUUGCUUAGGUAGUUUUGGGAGGGAAAAUGGUUGCUGAAGAUGGCUGAAGACUUUAGGGACUUGUACUCAAGUGUUAAGAUAUUUAGGGUGGACUUCUAAGGUUUCUUGUCCCCCUCUUGUUCCCCCCUCCUUUUUAGCAGCAACUUCUUCUUCUUCUUCUUCUUCUUCUUCUUCCUCUCCACUUCAUCUUCCUCAUUCCCCCAUUGUUGUUGCUGCACCCCCCUGAACCGAAGCCGCCACCCUCUCGUCGCCCCCUCCUUCGUGUUUGAGCCAGCCCGAAGCCGGGAGCCAAGCAGCCCUUGAGCCCAUCCCUGUCCGCAACUCCAGCCUGCUCGACUGCCUCACGCCGCUUGUGCACUGUCCACUAGCGCUACUGCCAUUUCGCCGCCUUAGUCGUAGCCACCACCACUUGUUACUCCAAUCGUCCAGCACCAUCUCCAGCUCACUUUACCAGACUAGCCAACCCAAGCCGAAUCCGUUCUAGUCCCUCGGCCCCCUCAACCAGCUCCAAGGCAGAACCAGAUUUGAGCCCUUGGGUUGAGCAAUGUUAGGCCUUUUCCGGCCCUUUCUUGACCUCACUUGGUGUCGCCGUAGGCCCAGGUUUUGGCUGCUGUUGCCGUGAAUCGGUUUUCGCGCUAAACCGGUGAGUUAACCUCCUAAGCUCUAAUUAGGGGUUAAUUGCACUUAUAGAGAAUUACUUUAGGCUUAAGCUUGGUUUAGUAGUUGAUUUAGUUAGAGUGACUAUUAGUUAGUAAUUUAGUUGAGUGAACUAGGUAGUUAAAAUAGUUUGGUAGAUUAGUUAGAAUAUUUAGUUAGUUUGUUAGAUUAAAUUAGUUAGGUUGGUUAGAUUAAUUAGUUAUUUCAAUUGGAUUAGUUCGGUUAGGUUGUUUAAUUUAAUUAAGUGUUUUAAUUUACAUAUUUUGUAACUUGUUUAAUUAUUUAUUAAUUAGUGUAAAUUAUACCGAGAUAGCUAGCUGUUAGAAUUUCGUGCCGAUCAUCAUGAUUGUGUUGGUUUGUUAAAUUGAUUACAAAUUUAUGCAAUUGGAUGCUGAGUGAUAAUUUUUGAAUUAUUAUUUCAAAAAGAUGAUUUUUUGUAUUUAAUUAGAAAAAUACUAUCUGUUGAGUUUUAAUGCCAAAAAGGUUUUAAGUACUAUAUAAAAUCGCGAGAUUUUUAAAAGAGAGGAUAUCGUGUUUUAUGGUUCAAUCUAAUCAUGUGUCCACACACAAUUAUAUUACCGAGUGUUUUUAAUAUGAAGAAAAUAGUCCAAGUACAUUAUUUGAAAUUGAGGCAUUUGAAUACAAAGCACAAUGUCCUUGGUUGAGUACGGAUGUGCAUGUGAUCACCUAAUAUCCUGACAUGUUUACGCGGGGUAGUGAACCCGUCCUGACGCAUCUACGCGGGACGAUACUUGAUUAAGUUCGGAUGCCCUUGACAAUGGAUGCCGGAUUACAGUAAAGGCCGGACCAAUGCUCCUUUGGGAAUGCUGUCUAAAUGUGGACGUUGUUGUGCUCGAUGGGGCGAGAUGAUGCUUGGUUAUGUCGGAUGACUGCCAACUGUUGAGUUGGACAUGGUCGAUGGGUCAUAAUAAUUGGGACAUGUGUGAAUGAUUGGAAUAACCGCACUUGAUUAUGUGACAAAAUUGUGUGACACGGAAUGAGACGUGUUAUAACGAUUUGACCUUAUAAUCAAGAUCCCUGUGAUUGGUUGAUAGAAGAAAUUGAAUUGUUCCAAUUAACGUUUACGCUUGUUGUGUAUAUAUAUGUUAUAUAAACUGUACUAAUGUGCAGGGAGGCGCCGAGGUGAGGUAAGUCUUAUAUGAUGUGUGUUUAGGCUACUUCUAGGUGAAUUUUCAUCUUAAUUGAGGUUUAGGGUGUAGACUCACUAAGACAUUGUGACACCCUAUCAUGGUUCAACAUUUUCAAGUCCUUAGAUGAAGGCCCGACCCGUACGUUUUGGGUGGCUGCAAGAGGCAGAGACCGAGCAUACCAUCUUCCCUAUCCACGGGUCUACUUACACCCGCAAGCUCGUAGUUACCACCAUUGGGGUAGAUGAGGGCCUAUCUUAGUUGGUACCUUAUCGAUUCAAAGCAUCAUUUCAUCACGGGCCUGAUAGAGUUCGGGAGGGUCCCUUGGAUGGCUUUGAUGGACCCGCCGUUGAUGAUGGGUAUGUGGAGGAACUCGACCCUGUCGUGGAUGCCGAUAUUACAGCUAAUAUCAAGGCAAACCAGGUGCCCGAGGCUAAGGAGCCUACAGUAGAGGUGGUUGACCCUUUUGACAUCGACAUCCCUAAUGAUGUCGUAGUAGACCCGAAUCCCAAGUAGAUCGGGUCUAGGGUAGGGUUAGCCUAGUAGCUUGUUUUGGGUUUCGACUUAUGUAUAUAACUUGAUUUGUUUAUAAAAUAUGUUUUGUGAAUUGACUGUCCUAUUUUUAUAUCCCAUGUUUAUUUGUUGUUUGGAGUUUGUUUAAUUAUCUUUCGCAUGUGUAAUAAAAUGAAUGGGUCGGCGACGCAUCUGGGAACGUCGCAACUUGAUCAACCACCAAGGGAUGUGCAUGCGCUCGAGGUUUAGGGUGUGACAAUGUGUGUGCCAAGAUGUAGUGCUUAAGCAUUUAAAACAAACACAACAUUUAUAUGAUGCAUACAUCGCUUCAAUAAUGAAUUAAAGCAUUCAUUUGCAACACCUCCAUACAAAACAAGUGGUUGCAUACACUCCGCCCCUUAUAACUUCCUUUUGCAAAACUAUUUAACACCUAACGUUGGUGGUGUACCUAGUCUCUCCACUGCCAAGUGAAAACAUUUUCCAAAAAGAGAAAUCUGAUCCUAAGUCCACUAUGAAUUUCAAUUCAAGGCCCUUGCGCAUCGCCAAACUGUCACAACCUUCUUGCAGCACAAUCUCACAUAAUUCCUCUCGAACACCUCUUCCACUUCAUUUAUCAUCCAUAGUCUCUCCCCUCCAUCGGUCAUCUCCAUGCCAUGCCCUCUUAAUUGGUCACUAUCAUACAUGACAAGAAUCGGUAGAAUAUGAGGAAAGGAGGGUGGAAGCAUCACUCUCCGCAGAAUGCCCAGCCAUUUCAAUUGUCUCCACCAUCACUUUCCUCGAUAAUUCAAGUCUCCAGCAGAGUCCCCUUGUAUGACAGUGACCAAUUAAGAGUGCAUGGUGGGAGACUAUAGAUGACGGAUGAAGCGGAAGGAAGAGGUCUCCAAGAGAAGUUAUGUGGAUGUGAUGAUGAUGAGAUAUUCGUGAAUCUUUGGGAAUCUCGUGAGUGAACUGCCUCCCCCCAAUUGUGCGUCCGUCUCCUUUUAUAGCAAAAAAUCUCCCACGUAUCAUUGGAAAGUCUGGAUUCGAGGAGCUGAUUGAUGAUUCCCGGAGAAUUGCAGAAUUUUGACUUUGAUUUGUUACUGAGAAUUGAUAUUGAAUCUCUCUAAUUCACUUCCAAACUAGCACUUGCAAUCAUUUGGUUUCCUUUUUCGGCUUCUACUCAUAUUGCCUUGAAUGUGACCCAUUCACUUGCCAUCAGCCAGCCCGUUCCAUCAAUCUCUUGCUGAUAUUCAAUUGAUUCCCCAGCUUCUUAUUCUUGCCUCUUCGACUCAGACGGGUGGCCCUUACCAAUCUCCACUAUCGUUUCCUUUUUAUUUUCAUCACUUAGUUGGCCUUCCUUAUUUCCUCUUCCAUUUUCACGACCUGCCCUCCAUCUUUUCCAUAAUCAGCUUCGGUUUAUCUUGAAAGCUCUUGCUCAGAUGGGUAAGUUUUUUCUUUCCUUAUCUGCCAAAUCUCGAGUCUACAUCAACUUAAUUCCAACCUUGUGGAGAGGUGAUUUGAUGUAUGCUUAUUCGUGGAGGCGUCAUCAGAUAAGCAGUGAUCUUACAUGUAAUGACUUAAGUAAAAAUGCUGAUGCAAGUGAUUUGAAUUUGAUCCCUAAUUUUUCAUGCGAUAAAUGACUAGUUGGAAAAAAUUUGGGUAUUAAUGAGAUGUCUAUCCAAAUUCUUUAAUUUAUCAUAAUGUAUUCGUAGUGUGUUUUUUUUUAAUCAGGUCCUCCAUUGUUGGAUAGAAAUAUGAUUUUGGUUUUUAAAUUAUUCUUUCUUCUCCUACUUUAAUACUUUCCUCACCAGUGUAAUGGUGUGUGCCCUGAGUUGUGACAAUUUCAGCAUCUUCUUCAACUUUGUUUGGGACUUGGCUUAAAACUUAUAAGUUUGUUUGCUAUAGAGCUUGUUAGGGUUAUGUCCCAAGUUUGAACCCGUCAAAUGGAACGUGACUCGGAAUAUGUGGACCACGUGAAGUGAUAAGCCCGGAUGCGUGUAACUUGGUCUUUAAGUCCUAUUCGGAAUCCUAUUCCUAAGCUGAAGUCGACGUAAAUUGAAAAGGAAUAGUCAACUUUGGAAUUUUAUGGUCGCCCUGGUGUUUGACUGAAUUUCCAUUUUGUGUGGACGUCGGGAUGUCGUGCAACGAAACGUGAAUGAAUUUGUUUCCUAGUAGUUGUCUACCUGUCCGUUUUGUUAACACAUAAAUAUACAAUCUUUCAUUGCCAUAUUUUCUCCUUGAAGGGUCUUUCGUGCGGAGGUGUGUGCUGUGUUUCUAGCUCGUCGUGUGCGACAUCAGAUCAAUUAGAUGAAGCUAAACACUGUGGGUAUGAGUGUAAUCUAGAGUUGAGAAACAAGUGAUUAUAAUUAUGUAAUUCUCCAAUUAAUUAUUGAUCCCUUGAGGCUGGUUCUCUUUGUCGUGACUUUUGGCUUGUUGCCACGACAUUCAAGUAAUUACAUAAAGCUCAAAACUACGGGUAUUAAGAAAUAUUUAAGUAAGCGAGUGCAACUCUAUAAUUAGUGGAUCCUUUGUGGUUGACUUGCUUAUUUGAUAGCAAUGCUCAAACCAAACUGCGAGAAGUCAUCCUAUUAUUCAUUGUUCCUCGUUGUUUUCCCUGAUAAUUUCGUUCUCUCGUGUUGAAUAGCAAGAUUCAUGACUUUCCGCAUUAUUUCACAUCAGAGCAUGCGUAAAUUGAGUGGCUAUACGGGCUCAUACCAGUGGUCCUCUAAACGAAUGGUCCUCUCAAAUUGAUGCGUUGGCGGGUCAGGACUUUCUGGGAAACGUGAUUGAUCCUUCCAUAAAAAUGACAAGACAAGGGCAUGAACAUGAUGGUGGUCCUGACAUCACUUUUGCUCGGCAGAGGAUGGGACAAAGGAAGAGUUGGAUUUGGUUUAGGUUGCGCAUGAAAAAAUUUCUGAAACAGAAAUUGAUUUCUGGCCAGAAAUCAAUUUCUUAAUUUCUAUUCCCCGGACAAGUUUCUGAGCAAAGAAACCCGUUUGGUAACGACUCAAAAUUUCUAUUUCUGAAACAAAAAUUCGUUUGCUAACAGAGCAAAAUUUCUAUUUCUAGGAAUAUAAAUUGAUUAUAUAACAACAUAGAAAAUCCUCAAAUACAAAAUAAUAGUCGAAAUAAUACUAAAAUAACAUGGGAAAUCCUCAAAUACAAAAUAAUAGUCGAAAUAAUACUAAUACAUUACAAAAGUUGAAAAUACAAUUUCAUGGAAUUUUUGGCAUAUUAUUAUCCCUUGCAAUUUUAUUAGCAAUUGUUUCCCUAAGCGUAUUUACUUGAUUUCCCUCCUCGGUCAAUAUAUCGUUUGCAAGCUCAUCUGCAUAGGUUCAGACAAGUACUGCAGAAGCAUGAAUAUGGGUGCCAUCAAUUGCGCUUAUACAGCCUUGUCAUUUUAUCAAAAACUAGUAUUAUACAAAAUUAUCAACAAAAUAAAAUUAAUGGUGUAAAGGAAUAUAUGAGAAUUCUACCUUAAAGUAAUGUUUAUGGUUAGGAACCAAUCGGGGGAAUGUUGGUUUAUUUUGAUUCUCGAAUUGAAUCAGUCCAGUUGCUCAUCCCUAAUUUCUUUAUUGUUGCUCAAUGAACCUUUAAUGGCCAUUGCAUAGCAAAGAGAGAGAUUCUCUUGAAUCUCUUGCCUUCGAAUUAAAAUUCAAGAUUCUGUAACAAUCUAAUUAUUUUGAUUUUGCAAGAAUUUGAAUCCAUACAAAAAUAAGGUUAAAUUUCUAGGCACAUUUUUUAUUCAUCUAUUACAUAAGAAUUUUUUCUUCAACUGGCCAUGCGUGUGCCUUUUCUAGGAGGAAAUAGCCCCAUUGUUUCUAAGUAAGUAUUUAAGAACUUUGGUCGUUUUUGAAAAUUGGGGACCCAUUCAUUUGCCUUUCAUUCUAAGGAGGAAGUUAUAAAAAAAAAUUGAAAAAAAAUGCAAAAAAAAAAAAGAGCAAAAAAAGAAAAAGAAAAUUAGCAAUAAUUUAUGAAGUCGUGGUUAUGAGUGAAUUAAGUUAGCAAGAAAGCACAAGGUUCUUUUAUAUGGUUUGAUUUCAGUUUCUGAUUCUAUUUUAGAAAUUGAGAAGUUAUAAAUUUUAGCUUUUGAUUUCUUCAAUUUCUCUAUUUCUGGAAUAGAAAUCCGUUUCAGAAAUAAAGAAAUCAAAUUGCAUUACCAAACGGAUUUCUGUUCCAAACCUGUUCCGAGGAUCAGAGAAACAGAGAAAUCGAGAAACAAAAAUUUUGUCAUGCGCGCUCUUAGUCAUUUGCUAUUUGCCAUGAUGUCCCAAUCAGAAAUUAGAAAGGCAGCUAACCAGAUCUAGACUUUUCAAUUUUUAUGUUGCUCUUCCCUUUUACAAUUCAAUUAAAAUAUCUAAAAAAAUUUCUUAAAUUGUUUGCAUGGGUAUAAAAUCCCACGGUUGAUUACACAAAACCGCAGUUGAAAAUUAUUUUUGUGAUAUAUUAAUUAACAAGACUGCAAGUAAUAAAGAUGCCUAAUAUGAGAUUAUAGUCUCGCAUAUGUGAGAUGAUGGAUAGAGGCAGAGCAACAACUAAACUAUUUUCUAUCAUUUUCUAUGUACUUGGUGGUUUCUCUUUCGGUAAAUGCUUGAUUAGCUUUGCUAAUGAAGAAAAAAAGUGACCACGAGAUUAAUGGGCGUUUGUUUCGUGGAAAAUGAGUAAUUUAGAAAAUAUUUUCCAAAAAACCACUUUCUCCCCGGUAAAACCCCAGGAAUGAUUCAACGGUUUGAUAGAACGCCUUACGGAAACAUCUGUGUUAUUUCAUGCAGUAGGUCCUUAUCGACAAUCUCGCUUCUUCUUCAUUUGUCAUUAUCAAGUAUGAACUGGUCUUAUGUGGGUUUUAAAUUUCUUGGGGACAAGUAGCAUCUCAUUUUCCAUGAAAAGGCUCUACGUUUCAGGUUCUCUGAAGUUUGGUGGCAACGUAAGUUCUUGCCAAUCUCCAUCAGCAGACAGCAUAUAUGACUGAUAACAUUUUCACAGACUUUCCAGGUUCAUUACGAUGUUUCUUAUACGGCUUCAUUUGAUCUCUAGUCUAUACGCAAUGCUAAUAUCUGUGAUAUGUGUUUAAAUUACUUUCCAGAAACUUGUGUUUGUUCAUCGUGAAUUGCUGCUUUACACAAUGAAUUAUCUGGGCGAAUGUGAAGAUUUGAUGUGCCGGAAGGAGAAAAUGGAGAGAGGUCCACAUUUUUAUUUUCUGUUCACGUUCAUAUUACUGUCAACACGAGGCCUUCACAUGAGUGUUGAAGCGGAUAAUCUUACAAUUUCUUGUCAGUAUGAGUAUGAAAAUUACUUGACCAAUGACACGUUUGAAUCAAACCUGAAGCUCCUUCUUGAUUCACUGUCGCACAACACCGCAACAACGGGAUUCUACAACACUACUGUCGGAGAAGGCCUUAACCGAAUUAAUGGACAAGCUCUUUGCCGAGGAGAUGCCAGUUCCACAGCGUGUGAGAGUUGUGUCAGCAAUGCAAGCCAAGGGAUCAUGAAGCUGUGCAAUGCUAAAGAUGCACUAAUUUGGUAUGAAUUAUGCCAAGUGCGAUAUUCCUUCCAAGAUUUCUUUUCAAACACGGCUUAUACUGGUAAAUACCCAGAUUCAAAUGGUCAGGACAAACUUGCAUCGGACCCAGCUGAUUACUACACCUACUUGAUGUAUCUAAUGAAGAACAUAUCCACUGAGGCUGUUAACUCUACCCAAAUGUUCGCAACGGGGCAAAUAAAUUAUUCUUUGAGCCAGACAAUAUAUGGGCUAGUCCAGUGUACUAGGGAUAUGUCAGGCGAUGACUGUUACAAUUGCUUGAACUCUGCCUUGGGGGAUCUAAAAGCAUGCUGCUAUUUGCGGGAAGGUGGAACGGUUGUUAGCAGAAAUUGCAAUGUGAGGUAUGAGCCAUACCGCUUUUUCAAUGGCUCGAUAACCUCUGUGUUAUCUUACCCUGCUUCCACAGGUAAGAACAUGCAAUCUAUUUGAAGUUACGGUUAGUAGGAGAAGAAAGCUAUAGUUCCUGCCAUUAACUUAACUUCUAUGCUUAUACAAUUUGAGCUAUGGUCUGAACAAAAUAGAAAAUUGUGGAGAAAGUUAAUCUACAUAAUGGGUUUUCUUAGACUUUUAUAGUUAAAGUUCUCUUUCAAAAUGACAGAGGAGAUAUCUACAAGGAUCAAGAUCUUAGAAAUUUGUGUACACCAUUAUUUCAUUCACCUCCAAUGAAGAAUUCAACUUUUAGCAAAUUCAUUUUUCUAGUCUGGCCUCAUUUUCUCAGAAAUACUGUUAGUUGCCUACAUCGCUUUUAUUCAGUCAGGGAUAGCCUAUAGCGAAACUUGUAACAUAGAGAAUCUAAAGAGACUUAGCUUACAUGUCCUUGAUUAUGGAAAUAGCCAAAUAUGCAGAAAAAUUACUGAGGUAAUCAGCUCAAGCUGAACAUUUCUAAUAAGCCUCUUUAUUAUUAUGGGAUGCAGUUCACCAUUAGUGUAGACAUUACAUCUCUCUUCAUAGCCUAUUGAUAUUCCAGAAUAUUCCAUUAAUCAAGAUGUUUAUUUGACUCAUAAAAGGAACGGGGGAUAAAUGGAAGAAAGGAAGGAUUGUCUUAAUUGUUGGUAUCCUGGGACUGCUAUUAGCUGUUCUUGCUGGAUCUUGCGCUGUCUACUUCAACUGGAGAAAAGCAAAACAAGGUAUGUAUGAGAAAAUGUCCCACUUAAUUUAUAUUUAUAGGAAAGCUAAUCCAAACUUGGGUACCUUUAGACCUGGAAAGAAGCCCGCAUGCUGUCCUCCAUGAUUUAGUAAAUCCAGUCAGUGUGGAAAUUACUGAAGAAGGCAACCUAGUUAGCUCUGAGGAACUUCCUUUCAUGGAUCUAGCUACAAUAAAGGCCGCUACAGAUGACUUCUCAAGUUCAAACAAGCUCGGGCAAGGGGGGUUUGGUACUGUCUACAAGGUAGUUUAUCUUUUGCUGUCAGUUUGCGAUUGUCGGUGGUUGAAGUCCAGUAAGUGGAGGGCUUAACCGAAUUUGCUUUCAGGGUUUGCUUUCUGAUGGAAAAGAAGUGGCAGUUAAAAGGUUGUCAAGGAAGUCUUGGCAAGGUCUCGAGGAGUUCAAGAAUGAGGUCAUCUUGAUUGCAAAGCUCCAGCACAGAAAUCUAGUAAGACUUCUAGGAUGCGGCAUAGAGGGAGAUGAGAAGCUGCUUGUAUACGAGUUCAUGCCUAACAAAAGCCUCGAUAUCUACAUCUUCGGUUCAAUUUCUCGUGUUCUCCAACUUUAAGAAAUAACUCAUUUACUUAGAAAUUGCAUGUGUUAAAUUGUCCUCAUCACGAACGUUUUUGCAUGAUGCCUUUAUCUUCAGAUUCAGACAAACGUGCACAGCUUGAUUGGUACACAUGCAAUAAUAUUAUUGAUGGAAUUGCUAGAGGAUUAGUUUACCUGCAUGAGGACUCGAGACUGAGGAUUAUUCACAGGGAUCUGAAGCCUAGCAAUGUUCUGCUGGAUCAUGACAUGGUUGCCAAAAUAUCAGAUUUUGGGAUGGCCAGAAUAUUUUGCGAAAACCAAAGUUCAGCUAAAACCAGAAGAGUUGUAGGAACAUAGUAGGUCCUUGCAUCUUCUGAUUUUGGUCAGCUGAAAAAUCUAGGAGUUUCUUGCUCUUGCCAAGGAAAACUCUCUAUUUGGUUUGUCAAUAAGAAGGUACUACAUAGGAAAGACUAAUGUGAACUUUAAUACUUGUGACAGCGGUUAUAUGGCCCCGGAGUAUGCAAUGGAGGGACUGUUCUCUGUGAAAUCAGAUGUGUUCAGCUUUGGCGUAAUUUUGCUCGAGAUCAUCAGUGGAAAACGGAAUAGCGGAUUUUAUCUUACAGAACAGGCUCAGACACUUCUUGCAUAUGUAUGUUCCACGGUUCAUGGGAAUCAAAAUCUUGCCUUAUAAUCAUUCAUUUUGCAUCACAAUUAAUUUAAUCUUGCAGGCGUGGAAACUAUGGACUGAAGGAAAAGAGUUGGAACUCGUGGAUCCUUCUUUAGCGGAAUCAGGCCAAGCAGCUGAAAUAGUCAGGUGCAUUCACGUCGGCCUUUUGUGCGUCCAGGAAGAUCCUGAAGAUAGACCGACAAUGUCAGAAGUAGUGACACUUUUAGGAGGUCAAAAAGGAACUCCUCCGGAACCGAAAAAACCAGCUUUUUGGGUUGGUAGAGCUGCCCAAGUACUCGAUCGAUCCUUGGCACCUAAUCUUCCUGCCAAUGACAUAACUGUUUCCAGUAUCUCACCUAGGUGAACAAGCACGUAUUCCAACUAAUUAAGGUUCCAUUUGCCCAUGGUUGUAAAAUUUCAUGUUGAAAAUAGGAACUUGUCAUGUUUGGAAGAAUUACUCUGCUCAUGAAAAUCACUGUAUAAACAAUCAAGAUUAUGGCAUACGGAGAAGGUUGAUUUGGUAAGCGAAAGGAAGAUGCAAAAAUUUUCGGUGACCGAGUGAACAUAGGUGGAUAAAUAUGCAAAUUCUAUAAACUAGAGGCUGUCACGUCCCGAUCCUCCGAGCACGUACUCAUCCCUGCUUUGUCGAUAUAAUAACAGUGUCCUAGUACGUAUCGCCAACCCAUUCAAUUAAUAUACGCAUGUGGAAGCAGAUAUAAAUUCCUAAACAAUAAAACAAUGGGAUAGAAAAGCAGGGCCAAACUUUUAAAACCACAGCCAGUCUUUUAUAACAAAACGGGUUUAUAUAGAAGACCAGAUUGGUUACAAAAAUAUUGGCUCAUAAAAAAGAAACUGUCUUAUGAGUAACUAGCCAUACAGGUUUGCCGAUUAUGCUUCUUCCACCUUCCUAAUCUCCGAGACUCCCGGCUCUUCACGGCCGUCACCUAGGGACUUGAAAAUAUGAUCCCACAAUGUGGUGAGACUACAUCUCAACAAGUUCAACCCUUAAGACCUGAUUAGGAAGAAAAUUGCGCCCUAAGGGCUGCCUAAGCACAAUCAGGCAUCAAAGGACUUACCUUGGCCUCAGUUCUUUCCUGCAAGUCAGUUCAAUUCAUAAUUAUUGACAAUCACAUCAUCCAACCAAACUGAUCGAACCAUCGAUCAAUCGAAACAAUCAAUUGCAUGUCAUCGAGACCAUCACAUUAUCAUUUCGAUUAUUCAUUAUCAACUCUUAGUCAUAGCCCAACAGACAUAAUUUAGAUUUAGUGGAAUCACGGCCCCAUUCAACAAUUUUAGACUUAGUGGUAUCACAGCCCCACUCGGCAAAUUUAGAUUUAAUGGUGUCAUGGCCUUACUCGGCAAAUUUAGACUUUGUGAUAUCACGGCCCCACUUGAAAAAUUUAGAAUUAGUGGUAUCACGGCCCCACCGGGAAAUUUUCUAUACAAAUACUUGCAUUAUCCAAUUUUUGGGAUAAAUCUCCAUAAUCACUAAUUCACUCAAUUUUCACAAUAGGCUUGGACUGAAUCAGCCUAACAAAUCUCAGCCCAAUUGAGUUGGGCUGGGCUUGCUUUGUGGGCUUGGGCUCGAAAUUGGGCUUGACUUUGUGGGCUUCAAAUGGGCUUGACCAAAAUUGAAGAUGGGCCAAAGAUGAGCUGAUUUUGCUGGACUGUUCUGGGCUUGUGAAACUCGUUGGGCUGCUGCUUGGCUCGGUGAACUGCUCGAUGAAAUUGGAGAAGACAUGAGGAAAUUCUGGCGCUGAGGACUAGGUCGAAGCAGGGGAGAUGUGGGCGUGACCUCGAGGGAGGCUUCGGUGAGCUGAAGAUGCGUGGGCGAAGGAAGAGGAGCUGUUUCGGUCUUCGUUGCUGGGAGUCAACAAGGGAGAGCUGCAUUGAACUUUGGUGGGGUUACUUAUGGGGCAGAUAAAUGGAGGGGAAGUGGGGUGAUGGGCUACGGAUGAUGAUGCUGAAGGAGAAGGAGGGGAAAUGGACUUGUGGCAGGGGGUCUUCGGUGGAGAGUUGCGUGGGCGUGAGGUUUCGGUUGGGGAACAGAAUUACGUGGGGUUGUUCGAAGUAAAAUGAAAAAGAGAAAAUAAGUAAAUGAAAGGAAAGCAAGGUCAACUGGAGGGUCGAGGGAAAAGAAAGUUUCAAGCUUAUCCUAUGGUCCCCCUAUUACUUUCUAACAAGAUAAGUCCAAUAAAAUUCAAUUUUUAUGCAAAUAAUGCACCCCCAACCAAAGCUCCGAAUUUCCCAACCUUGGCCUUAAUUUCUUCACAAAUUCCCCAAAUCGACGUCCAAUUUUGAUGAAGAUGAAGUCCACAAAUUUUCUACAAGUCCCCAACACUCAAAGGCUCGACUUAGAAGUCCAAAUUUUCUUUAAUUCGGUCAAUAUGAAUUUCCGUUAUUUUUCCGCAACGUCCAAAUCGAUUUUCUGUAAAAAUCCCGAACUCUCCAAAAAUUCCUCGAAGGAUGAGUCAACGUUCUUAAAAUAAAUCGUGACGUGAUAAAACUUUCAAUUUCUAAAAUCAGGUUCAAAUUCGUGGUUAAUUUCAAUCUGAUGCGAUUUUAGUGUGACCUAUUUUAUAGGUAGCUUUAGGAAUUUUUAGUGCAAUUGACCCUUGAUUGAUUUAUUUUGAGUCAUAAUAUACAUCUUCGACACAUUGGCGAUCCUCGGUUGUCGUGAAAAUCAGGAGGUUUCAAUUACGGGCACCGAGUACUAAAACAAUAGAAAAAUCGGUUUAGUGUUGAUCGACGAGUAUUUUGCAAUCGGGUGAAAUCACCCACACUCUAAUCACAUAUCUCAGUCAAGUCGGCCCAUCUCCGGUCUCUGAUUGAUUUCGACAGUGCCGUAACGACCCUUGCAGACUAACACGGUCGAGCAGUCGUUUCGUGGUCGAAUUCUCAAGUCUAGUGCGUUAAAAUCCCUUAACGGCUUCCCUAGAUAAUCUAGUUAUCUCGUGAAUAAUUAGCUUAGAGAAUAGCAUUAUCGAUGUGUUGACGAAAUGUUCGAUUUAUUUAAUCAAUUUUUUUUUUUGAAAAUUCAGGCUGUCAGAGAGGCCCCAUACAUUUUAUUGAACUAAAGCAAUGUUAGUGCAAUUUGCCUUUCCAUGAGUAAAACUUUAGUUCGUUCCAAGUUCUGGAUAGUUAUGAUGGUUACUACAGGUGGGGACUUACCGAGUCUGGUGCAGGAGGGAAAACUCUGUUCCUUGUGCACUUGAAUGCUCUUUGUUUUUUCUUGGCCAAUCUAUGCCCGAUAUGAUUAAUCAUAGGAAUAGGAAAAGAGAAAUGAGCAGCAACACAGCUAGAAACUGACAUCAUCCGUUUCAGCUUACAAGGUCAUGCCAAUCUGGAACCGAAUACGAGACGUCUUGCUUCUCAAAUCUCUAGGUCCAUGUUGCCAAAUCCGUCUCGAAUCACAUUCACCAAUUAGCUGAACUAGGUCCUUGGAUCGAGUUGUCAUCAAUAUUUCCCCCAACUAUUGCUGUUAUGUCCUUAGAACCUUAUAUUAGUAGACUAUAGAGAAGAAGACUGGUCUUUGAUUGACAUUGUAAAUUUCCUUUAGGGACUACAUCCUAGUAAUUCACAUAUGCUACUUGGCUUGGAAUUCAUAAAACCAUUCUUUAUAUAUACCCCUCUACUUUCGUUUUUUUAAGUCUUCACUUCUGAGAACAUUUCGAAUUGUUGUAGGCUUGACAAUUGGACUAUAAGUCUCACAGUAAUCUACAUGGGUUUUGUGACUGUAUCCUUUGCACAAGUCCAGCUCUUUACUUGUCGAUAGAGCCAUGGUGCUACCAAUAACAUUCUAAUUUGCCUGUGGUGGUACAAGACACCAAAGUUACUUUGGUAUCCAAGAUAAACAUCAGGAUAGAAUUCUACACGUUGAGACUUCGAACUAAUUAAAAUUACAUAAAACAACACUAAAUGAAUUUAAACUAGAAAAUAUUAUUCGAAGCUACCUGACGUUGUCAUUAUUUACCACCACUUAAUGAAACAAAUCAAUACGACAAAAAAUUUCCAAUUUUUUGGCACUUUAUAAUAGAGUGCCAUACGGGGCUCGUAGGAGAGAAGACGAGGCAGAGAAUGCCAAGUGAUGUGAGGCAGCUAAAUAGAACCUUUUUUGUUAGUAAUUAGGGGCAGGAAAAUUAAUAAGGGGCAGGAAAAUUAAUGCAUCACACAUGAGGAUUAAAUUGCAGUGUAGCUUGAAUGAAAUAUUUUAUUUCGAGUUUUGAAAUUGAAAAACCUUCACUCGGUUCUUCUCCCAAAUUUAGUAAUCCGCAAGUCAUUCUCCUCGAACACGUCACCAAACCUGAAAUUCUAGAAAAUUGACUCAAAACAAGCAAAAGCAAUCUCCUGGAAAUUACCCUUAGCUUCAAAGUCAGAGGCUAACACGGGACCAUGAAUUCUCCAGCUCAUAAAUCUCAGCUCAAACUUCAACUCGAACUAGAAUAGAAACCCGGAUAGACUAAGAAAUGGUUCACUACCAAACGGUUUCACUGAUCAUCCCCUUCCUUCUUGCUUAUGUGAUUCUCCCCAGUUUAGUCCGCCUUUCGCACGCCGAUCCUCCUUACCAGCUCUGUUCAGAACCUGGGUACUAUGCUGUCAACAGCACGUUCCAGAAUAAUUUUGACAAUCUCGUUGCGAAUUUGUCCUCGAAUGCUUACCUCUCAAAGUUCUAUAGUACCUCUUAUGGCAAUGGCACAAACAGAGUCUAUGGUCAGUAUAUGUGUUUGAAUUAUGUUAGUAAUCAGGAUUGCCGAAAAUGCGUUGAUUUGGCCUCACAGGACAUAUUGAGGCUCUGUCCUAAUGAUGCCGAGGCCAUCGUCUGGGAGGAAGUAUGCCAGUUGCGGUACUCGGGACAGGAUUUCAUUGGCCAUUUGAACAUUACGGGCAACAUUUGGAAGGAUAACGUGAUGAGUGUUUCGCAACCUGACCGGUUCAAAUUAGUUGUCAGCACCACUCUGCAGAAUCUCACGAAAGUUGCAGCUUUUAAUCCUUUGUCGCACAUGUAUGCAACCGGCGCAGUUGAGUUUAAAGAUGCAAGUGCAUCGAUGCUAUACGCAUUGGUGACGUGUGGAAGAGACAUAUCUGGAAGCGACUGCAACAUCUGUCUUCAACAAGCUAUAAAAGAUGUGUUGGCGAACUGUUCCUUCUCAGUUGGCGCGAGGAUUCUUAGCCGUAGCUGCUAUUUGAGAUAUGAGCAGUACGCGUUCUAUGAAGGCAAAACUGCGCCAGAGCCUAAUCAAACCACACAGGGAGGUAAGUUUAUAUAGGUAGUUCUCACUUUUUCUACUUAUCCUUUGGUACAGUUGUGUACAUCAGAUUCAGGAUGAGCGACAAUCACAAUUAAGUUCUGCACGGUGCAGGUAGCAGAAAGAAAGUGUGGUUGAUUGUGAUUCUUACGAUCAUAGCUGUCGGAUUAGCAGUACUUCUCGUGGUGUCCUGCAUUUACUAUCUUCGAAUCCACAGAAGAGAGAGAAGAGGUAAUUUGCCCCAGAUAGUGCUUGUUGAUUUCUUGGGUAUCUUUCUCCUAAUUGCCACGCCUGUUUUCUCGUUUGCAUAAUUCUGUUUUCAUCUUCAAUUUUUUCAGGGAAUAAAUCAGCUAUCCAGCUUGGCGUGCUCCACUAUUCAGGCUAUGCUAGGGAUAGUACUAGUUUCAUGAACUGGACUUUUCAACGAAGAUUUGACAAGAAUGUUCCGGAUUCCCCAUUUUUCGACUUCGCCACCAUACUAACUGCUACUAACUAUUUCUCUGCUUCAAACAAGCUGGGACAAGGAGGUUUUGGCCCGGUUUACAAGGUAGCGAGGACAUACAAUACAGGGGAAAUGACUAAGGAUUACUGGCUAAAUUUGCUGCAAUUUAGAUUAUGAUCCUAAGAAGAAACAUUGGCGUCAUCUUUUUCAGGGAAUUUUAGGAGAUGGAAGAGAGGUAGCUAUCAAGAGGCUCUCAAGCACUGAGCAGGGUACUGAUGAAUUUACAAAUGAAGUCUUGCUCAUAAUGAAGCUCCAGCAUAAAAAUCUCGUUAAGCUUUUGGGAUUCUGCAUCGAUAAUGAAGAGAAGAUCCUCGUCUAUGAGUACAUGCCCAAUGGAAGCCUGGAUGUCAUCCUUUUUGGUUUGUUUAACAGCAUGAUAUUUCAAGCGAUCAAUCAGUUAUCUUAGUAUUCUAAAAUUUGCGUUCUUCUUUUUGCUGCCAGAUCGUGAAAGACGGGCAAAACUUGACUGGAGAAAACGCAUCAACAUCAUAAGUGGUAUAGCACGUGGGGUUCUUUACCUUCACGAGGAUUCCCGCCUAAGAAUCAUUCACAGAGACUUGAAGGCGAGCAAUAUAUUAUUAGAUUCUGAGAUGGACCCAAAAAUAUCCGAUUUUGGAAUGGCUCGAAUUUUUUCUGGAAAUGAUGGCGGGACCAACACUGCAACCAUAGUAGGAACAUAGUGAGUCCAGUGUUUGGGUUUUAUCUGUUUAUUUCCUUAAUCUACUGUUUGAUAAUUUGCAAAUGAACUUUGCAGAUGCAAAUUCAAAGAUAAAAUUGCUAUCGAAACAACAUUAUAGCCCCAUACACACUUCAGCUGACAAUGUUUGUUGAAUGUCUCAAUUGAUCUCACAUUUCCCUUUCUAAUUAUGUGGAGUAGUGGAUACAUGGCGCCGGAGUAUGCUAUGGAGGGACUAUAUUCGACUAAGUCUGAUGUUUUCAGCUUGGGAGUUCUUGUGCUCGAGAUAAUAACAGGAGAAAGAAAUGCUAGCUUCCAUCUAUCGAGACGAGCACCGACCCUCGCUGCAUACGUGUGAUAUUUUCACUAAUUAUAAUCAGCAUUUGUCUUAAUUACUAGGAAAGUGAGGUUACUGAAAAGAUCAUGAAUUUGCAGGCAUGGCAUCUGUGGCAGGAUGAAAGGGAAUUGGAGCUGGUGGAUCCAUUGAUAAUUGACUCGUGCUGCAUGGAAGAAUUUAGACGAUUAAUGCAAAUCGGAUUGUUGUGUGUUCAAGAAGAUGCAUAUGACAGGCCUACAAUGUCGUCCGUGGUUAUUAUGAUGAAAAGCGAGAGCACAAUUCUUACAAAUCCUCAAAGACCGGCUUUCUCAGCAGGAAGGUCCACCGAAUAUCACCAACCAGUCACAGGUAACAGCUCUUCUGUCAAUGGCGUAACUAUUUCGGAUAUCGAAGCAAGGUGAUAGGCCCAAGAAAGGAGAUAUCGGGACUUUGCAAGUUCACACGUCUUGAUCGGUUACUCCUGCUUGUGAAAAUUCCUAACAAUAGUCUGUUCAUUUAGUAUAACAGGUUUAAGCGUUCAUGUAGCAUGGUGACAAGUCUUUCUAUAUAUAUUUGUCCGAGUCAAAUUCGUAUGCCGUGUCAUGUCAUUGUCAAAUUGUACCGAUGACAACAGCAUUUUGUUGAAGUAGAAUGCUAUCAUCUUCUGCAGUUUGAACAUACUGUAUUGAGCUGAUCAAUUGCAGGCGCUUCACAACAGAAAGAACAUAACCAAAUGAGUCUUUUUGGCCAUUGAUGGCUAGUUUGGACCCUCACAUAUGAUUUAACUCUACCACACUCGCAAGGUUUUACAGGAACUUUGGGCGACUUAAUUGACUUUGGCAAUAUUGUUCUUCUCUAGCUUCUCUGAACAAGCAAUGGAACUGAUCUAAGAAAAAGCAUAGUAUUUUCAUUGAAAAACAUUACAUUUGGCCAAUAAAUUUUUUUAAAGAGAAAGUACAUUAGUACGGUUGUUACUUCUUUAGUAAAUACUAGUAGCAGAACUGCAAGUAGACAACUUUCCCAUUCACUUUUUUAAUAUCUCAUACACAUAGAAAUAACAGACUGUUUGGUAUCCGUCAUCUGUAACUGGGUGUAGAAGGGUUUGACCGAGAAGAGUCGACUGACACAAAAGAUUAAAGAUUUGUUUUGGUCAAGAGUCAAUGGUGUUCUCAUAGUGGGUUCACCAACGAUGCAAACAAAAUGUGAGCCGCUGUUGAAGCUCCAUCCAUUGGGUCUGUAUCUUUAUUUAAGAAAGAUGUAGAGAGAAUCUUAUUGCUAAUGGCAGAAUAAUGCCAUUUAACAGCUUUAUCGGAAACCUGACUAACUAAAUAUUCUUUUUGUUACCUAUCUAUUAUUUUUAUGAAAGAGAGAGGCAGCUGGAAUAAAUUAUUUCUUGAACGUGAUUUUUUUUUCUUUCUUUUAUGAGGUAGAAAGGGACAUUAGGAUAUGAUCUUAUCAUGUGACUUGUCAUCACAACCGCACACUGUAACGACAAUAAGAAACUGUCUUCUUCUCUCUCAGAUCUAGAAUCCAAAAGUCUUUUAAUUUUGUUGACUUUCAAAAGUUUGGUCAAACAAACGAUUCUGGCCAUUUAUUUUUCUCAACAUAUUCAUUUUUUAUUUAUUUUAUUUUGGUAAAGUUCUGAACAUAUUCAUUGUUUCUCAGGAAACCCAUUUUUUUUUUCCUCAAGAAUUCAUGGUCAAACAAAGAAGCUUUACUUUUCUUGCUGGCCACGUGCUUAUGAGCACAGCCAUUGAGAGAUUCAAAGGGCAAAUUGAAUUUUUCAAAAAACCACUUAUUUCCACAAGAAGAACUCCGGAAUAAUUCAACUGUUUGAUAGAAUAACAGAAUGCCAACUAGAAAAAAUAUCCUGUGUUAUUUCAAGCUCUUGGUCUUUAUACAAGUAAUUUCACUUAUGUUGGGAAAAAAACGGAUUCCCUAAAAACGAUCUGAUAUUCAAUCGAACCCCUAAAAUGAACGUGGAAGACGAGCCUAAGAGUCACAUGUAUCACCGAUCAAAAAUACACUAUGGAAUCGAGCGUACCUUAUCUUUUACAGAUUAAACACCAAUGUUGAAGUUUGAGGAAGAAUUCUAAUCCCGUUCUACCGAGGAGCGUACUGUCCUUUCUAGGGGAGAAAACUCUGAUUUUUAGGGGUACUAUUCUUACGUUCUUUUUGGGAGGGGGAGAAAGUGUCUAACGUACGUUCACUCAAAAGGUACGUUCCUUUUCUUUCUCUCCCUGAAAACGUCUUCUCCAAAAGACGCAUCUCUUCAACGUAAAGCAUUCCUCCAAAAGACAUAACCCCUCAAGUAAGCCUUUCUUCCAUGGGCCCUUAUCUUGCGGGCCGGGCUUUUAGGCCUGUCGCGACCUAAUUUUCGUGGGUUCACCACCUAAAACUAGGUUAAUGGAUUACUAAGUCUUUAAGCUUAGUCCGGGCUCUCCCAAGCCCAUACCAAUUCGCAACUUAUGUUUAAAUUCUUAACAUGCAAAUGAUUUUCAAUCAGGAGUCGGCACUAAUUUAUUUUUGGUGGGUCGAUUAGAAACCCAAGUAAAGUAACGGGAGAUUUACUUUACUCCUACGAACCAGAGAUUUAUGAGUUCGGGGACUUGGUUACACCAGACUAUCCUAGUGCCCUUUCGGUACCUUUUUAUUUCAUUUAAAAAAAUGUUUGGCAAUUGAAUUGAUUUUAAUUUAAGUUCAUAACAUGUGAGGUGAUCACACAUGUGCGCAUACCACCAAUUUAACAUUCAAGAAAGCAAUUAAAUAUUGCAAAACAUACCUAGAAGCAACGAAAGCAUUUGCAUUGUUAAAUCAGAAUUCACAUCAGCAGCCCUAGAUAUGAUUUCUAAUUAACAUGCAAUUUCAAUUUUUGUUUUCACUUUAUUUAAUGAAAAUCAUGCGAUGCAUGCUAAUAAUCUAAUAUGACAUGGCAGCAUGACCUAAACUAGAUGACAUGAAGAAAUGCAAUAAUUAAAUGCAAUCUAAAUGACAUAAUUCUAAUGACAUGCAAUGCGAUGCAAUGACAUACAAAAUUAUUUAAACUAAGAUGACAUGCAGCAUACAAUUUAGUACGCGAGUUAUAUGUCAUGCAACAUUUAUUAAAUGACUUAGUCUAAUGACGGGCAAUUUCUAAUUAGAAAUGAAUCUAACAAUAAUCACUAAAAUGACGUGCAUUUCAUGGACUUAAUUCUAUAUAACGUGCACAUGGUUUUUUUCUAUUCUAAAAAUGCAAUCUAUUCCUGGAAAUUGCAACUAAUUUAUCCUAAGACAAAUUUUAUGAAAUUCGAAAUUUAAAAAUGCAAAAAUGAUCUAGCUAGAUUAAGAUUCUAUCUAAUUUAAACUAGGGAUUAAGUCAUAUUAAAUUCUAAUUUAAACUAAGACAUUAUCUAAAUCUAAGAUGCAAUUUAUCUAAAAAGAUGAUCUAAAUUUAAAAUGAAACAUGCAAUUCUAAUCUAAAAUGCACAAUGAUUUUCUUGUGUUUUUCUUUAAGAAAUUCGAAAUUAAAACUUCACAUAAUUAAACAUGCAAUUCAAAUAAAAAACUAACAACCUAAAUGAAUCACUUUCUUUUUUUUGGAUUUUUUAUUUUUUAUUUUAAAUUCGGAAUAAAAUCCCUAUUCUAGAUAUGCAAGAUAACAAGAAAUAUUCCAAAACAAACUGAAUCCUAAUUCAAAUAUUUUUUUUAGAUUUUUUAGAGGUUUUUUUCAAAACAGUGCAAUUACCAACUAAACAUUAAAUCUAAACUAAUCAAGGCAUCCAAUCAAAUAAAGGAUCAAAAUAAUCGAAAAAAUAACUUGUUGUCUCACAGGUCAAAUUAACGAUUAUCCUAACCCUAAUUAUCACGACAAAGAGUUCAAAAUAACCAAAAAUCUGAUCCGAAUUUUUACGGAUUAAAUUAAUAAUUACAUUAAUUCAGCACUUAAAACACUAUCAACAAACCCCAAAAAUUAAUAUAAUUAAAAAAAUGAUCCGACAUCUUACGGAUCAAAUUAGUAAUUACAAUAAUUUUAGGGAAGACCCUGUGGAUAAUGCGUACAAAAUCCAUAAAAUAAAGAUCACUCCUGAACUUAAAAGAAAUAAAUAAAAUAAAGUAAAUAGAAAAAGAAAAUAAAACUACCUAAUUUCCCUUUCCUUUUUUUUUUUUUUGUUUUUCUUUUCCUUGGCCAAGGUAACAGGUCAAUCGGUCCGGCAAAGGGAUUGCUGGCGAGGCAAGGCAGGUGGGCGUCUGGCGCGGGGCAGUGAAGAUUGACGUCGGCAAGGGACUUCGGCGAAGCAGGGCACCGAUGAGGGGGUGUCGCAGGGAGCGGGGCCUGCUGUCGGGCACCGAGGACACGCGAGCAACAGCGAUGUGGGCUCUGGUGGCGUUGGGUCGCGGCAGGAACAGCGGCACGGCGGCGGCUAAGCGUCGGGUCUCGGCGCGAUUCGACAGCAGCGUCGGCGGCGCACGAGUCUUCGGCUUCGAGUAGCAGCAGGCGGCGUUGGGCGGAUCGAUUACCGGCGGAAAGCGGAGGAGGGUGUCGGGCUUUGCGAACGGCGAGGAACGGUGGUGAAGGAGUAAUCGCACGGUGAGGCAGAUCGGCAAUGGUGCAGGCGCGGCGAAAGGGAGGCGCGGCUGGGCGGAUCAGGUGCGACGGCAGCACUGGUGUGGCGGCGACGCGAAGGCUCUGCAGGUGGAGCUUCAGGUUGGAGUCGAGUCAAAGCAGAGGGCACAGAGCGGCUCCACGGGAGCAACGCCUCUCGAUUGCGGAUUGCAGGUCGCCGAGUGGAGCGGUGAGGGUAGCGACGGACGCGGCACAGCGUCAGGCGAGCGGCGCAGCGGAGAGGCAGGCGCGGGUGAGUGGGGCUCCGGCGCGGUGGCGAGCUGCUGGGGCGGUGGUUCGGUGAGCGACCAGCCAACGGGGAUGAAGCGUUGAAGAAGAUGAUGAAUAGUGCUAGGAUUUCUCUUUUUUGUUUUUUUUUUCUCUCCUGUUGCACGUCUCUUCCUCUCUGCCCCUGUCUCACGUCACUCUCCCUCUGCCCGUGUACUUUCUGCCGGAGACUUUUUCUUUU
rnacentral:lncRNA from 1 species